rnacentral:misc_RNA from 1 species
GAUGAAGACGUAGCGAAAUGCGAUAAGUAAUGUGAAUUGCAGAAUUCAGUGAAUCAUCGAAUCUUUGAACGCACCUUGCGCCCUUUGGACAUUCCGAAGGGCAUGCCUGUUUGAGUAUCAUGAACACCUCAACUCUCACGGCUUGUCCGUGAUGAGCUUGGACUUUGGGGGUCUUGCCGGCCUGUGGUCGGCUCCUCUCAAAUGGAUCAGCUUGCCAGUGUUUGGUGGCAUCACAGGUGUGAUAACUAUCUGCGCUUGUGGUUUUCCAUCAGAUAACCUUCAGUGAUAUGGAGGUUCGCUGGAGCUCACAAAUGUCUCUCCUUAGUGAGGACAGCUCUUUGAACGUUUGAUCUCAAAUCAGGUAGGACUACCCGCUGAACUUAAGCAUAUCAAUAAGCGGAGGA